GCCAGCAACGAGCCACUUGCUCUGCAUACAUCAGCAAAAGAUUUUCUUGGAAGUUAACACAGGGGCGAUAGGUAUACAACUGCCUAUGGCAUUCUUAGCUUUUCUGAGUAGAUGAGCCAAUCAUGCCAUAAGAAGCUGUUCUUUUACAAAAAAGAAAAUAGCCGUCCAACGUAUUGCAAAGCAUGUGGAGAGCUUUGCUCUUCUACACUGUAUUUUCAUUUUCAACUUUAACCGGCUUUGAUUGAUGAGAGCUUUGGCUGACAAUUCAACUCCAAUAAGGCAGUACAAUCACCAGAAAAUUUCAAGCAAACAGAGACACGAAACGGGGAAGCACAAGAUUAACCACCUAACUAGUGCAACUAGCUUGGCUUAAGAGAACCCAGAAACUGUAACGAUCGAAAGUCUUGUUCCUAAAUUCCUAACACAGCACACGUUGUCUCAAACUGUAAAUUUUGCAAGAAAAGGCAACAAAAUGAGCAUAUUUUUGAAACGUAAAAGACCAAACGGAGAAGGCACCAACGAGAUGAUUAAGGUUCGAUUCCAAACCACCAGCCACGAAACCAGCCGACCCAUCAAUAAAACCUUCCUGUUCAAGAAUCAUAAUAUCUUCGCCGCUGCCACCACCACCACUUCCGAAAGAAGCAGCUCUCAUGGUCUCAGCCAUGUGCCUUCAACUCAAGACUUUGCCUUUCCCACGAGCGAGCACGCACGAGCCAGACCCACCAUGGCCGAUCUCGAGCAGCGCAACUCGAGCGCCAAAGUGGGAUUCCGCCUCAAAGGUUUGACCUUUGAAGAAGAAGGAAACUUGGGUAAAGCGCUAAAACUUGGUUAGUGUACGAUAGUCGGGGAGCUGGGCAUCUUGGGUUAACGCGGGGGCAGAGAAACGGGGGUAACAUACAGCGAGUCGAGGCCAAA
rnacentral:lncRNA from 1 species